rnacentral:rRNA from 1 species
UACAGAGGGGGCAAGCGUUGUUCGGAAUUACUGGGCGUAAAGGGCGCGUAGGCGGCCGCCUAAGUCAGACGUGAAAUCCCUCGGCUCAACCGGGGAACUGCGUCUGAUACUGGGUGGCUUGAAUCCGGGAGAGGGAUGCGGAAUUCCAGGUGUAGCGGUGAAAUGCGUAGAUAUCUGGAGGAACACCGGUGGCGAAGGCGGCAUCCUGGACCGGUAUUGACACUGAGGCGCGAAAGCCAGGGGAGCAAACGGG